AUUGAACGCUGGCGGCAUGCCUUACACAUGCAAGUCGAACGGCAGCAGACCUUCGGGUGCCGGCGAGUGGCGAACGGGCGAGUAAUGCAUCGGAACGUACCUUUCAGUGGGGGAUAACGUAGCGAAAGUUACGCUAAUACCGCAUAUUCUGUGAGCAGGAAAGCAGGGGAUCGCAAGACCUUGCGCUGAUUGAGCGGCCGAUGUCAGAUUAGCUAGUUGGUGGGGUAAAGGCUCACCAAGGCGACGAUCUGUAGCGGGUCUGAGAGGAUGAUCCGCCACACUGGAACUGAGACACGGUCCAGACUCCUACGGGAGGCAGCAGUGGGGAAUUUUGGACAAUGGGGGCAACCCUGAUCCAGCCAUGCCGCGUGAGUGAAGAAGGCCUUCGGGUUGUAAAGCUCUUUCGGCCGGGAAGAAAUCGCACGGGCUAAUACCCUGUGUGGAUGACGGUACCGGAAUAAGAAGCACCGGCUAACUACGUGCCAGCCGCCGCCGUAACAC
rnacentral:rRNA from 1 species